GGUGGGCCGGUGCGGGGAAGGGAGGCUGAUGGUUGUCGCGGGACCUCCGACGGCGGCGGCAAUCGGAUAGCAGUGGGGCUCUCUCACGCAGGCGGCUGGACGUGGUGGGGCUGGGCCGGUGCGGGUAAGGGCUGCUGCUGGUUUUUGCGGGAGCUCCGACGGCGGCGGCGGUCAGAUGGCCCCGGGGCCUCCUCACGGUCGAGGCUCUCUCACGCCGCCCCUCCUCAUGCGACGAGGCACAAUAGGGCGGAGCUGAGCAAGGGCUUCACAUGGCGCCCCCUCCUCCAGCUCCCCAAAUCGAAUCGGCCAAGGCACAUGUACGGCAAGAGGAGGCGCCACAGCAUGGUGGUGAGGCAUGGCGCGCCGGAGCUGCGUCCAGGUGGAUUGCGCACGAGCGAAGUCGCUGGCCUCCUCGCAGGUCCAGUGCACAAGCGCGGAGGAGCGGCGCAAACAAUCUUGAUGAGGCACGCGGCUGUAAGAGCUGGGACCAAGAAAUAGAAGUAUGAGAAAUGGCAGGGUCUACGAGCUGGGAACAAGAAACAGAAGUAUGAGAAAAUUAGUGAGCGGAAGAUCACCACUUGACUUGAGGCUCCUUCAUAGAUACCCUUCUGAAUUUCAGUCAUACUUCCUUUACUGCCGUUCACUACGUUUUGAGAACAAUCCAGACUAUCAAUAGAUGUGGUGUUUCCAUUAUUCUUCUCUCAUGAAAGCCUGCAGGACCAAAUCAUGGUUUAUAAUUCCAUUAUGGAAUGUUGGAGACGGAGGUUCUACGAUUUCGUAGGUUUGUUUCUCGUUACAUCCUCAACUGGGCUCUGGUUCUGUGCUCCUCUGCUUUGUUAAGGGUUUGGUGUUCCCAGUCAGCAAACUGGGUCAGUGAUCCAACAGAUAACCUUGUGGGAUAGAUAGCCUCUUACGAGCAGUGUCCUUGUUGUAACUUUGCUGAUCAUAUACAUGUAAGAUUGCAAAAAUCAUUACCACUCAAUAGCAAUCUCUCUCCGAUCACCACUUCGAGUGCAUGUGAGCCUGGAGUAGUAAACUUGUUGUGUACGAUGGUGGCCAGAUGGGGUUUGAGACAAGAGGCAAGGCUGGAUGGAGCUUUGAGGGCCUCUGGUUUGGCGGCGGCAUGUGCCUAUCAUGGAGGAAGUGGUUACAAUAUCCAUUUGAAAGAUGGAGCGGGCACAAAAUAAGUUCCUGGUACAAUGGUGGCCAGAUGGGGUUGAGACAAGAGGCAAGGCUGGAUGGAGCUUUGAGGGCCUCCAGUUUGGCACGUGUGUCGAUCUGGAAGCACCCUAUUAGAAAAUUACCACGAAAUCAUUAUUGAGCUUCAACCGUUCCUAAUAUACUUAUGGCAAUAUUAUUAUUAGAUGAACCACUACCUAUUUCUAUCUAUGUUAGAAUUUAUGUUAUGUGUAGCUAAUGGGGGACCAAUCAUGAGCCUCACGGUUUAAAGUCAACAAAUCUCAAUCCAAAACUUGCAGUUACAAUAUUGUCUCA